rnacentral:rRNA from 1 species
UACGGAGGGGGCUAGCGUUGUCCGAAGUUACUGGGCGUAAAGCGCGCGUAGGCGGGUUGGUAAGUCCGCUGUGAAAGCCCGGAGCUCAACUCCGGAGGGUCGGUGGAUACUGCCAGUCUUGAAGGUGCUAGGGGGAGAUGGAAUUACCGGUGUAGCGGUGAAAUGCGUAGAUAUCAGGAGGAACACCCAGGGGGAAACCAGUCGACUGGGCAUCUACUGACGCUGAGGUGCGAGAGCGUGGGGAGCGAACCGG